rnacentral:misc_RNA from 1 species
AAGUCGUAACAAGGUAACCGUAGGUGAACCUGCGGUUGGAUCAUUAUUAAAUGAUUUUUGUGGUGUGGGUCUUCGGAACUCCACCAUGAAUAACAACCUAUGUGAAAUGUAUCGUUUUUGGGUUAAGAAAGUGGGUCUUUGUCUAGUGGUGUUUUUCACUCUGUUCAGAUUCCUGCCCGACUAGCCCGCCUGUUUAACAACCCCUUAUAUUUUUGUCUGACUUUUGUAUUCUAUGAAUCAAAAACAACUUUUAACAACGGAUCUCUUGGCUCUC